rnacentral:rRNA from 1 species
GAACGGUAGAGGGGGCAACCCCUUGAGAGUGGCGAACGGGUGAGUAAUAUAUCGGAACGUGCCCAGUCGUGGGGGAUAACGUAGUGAAAAUUACGCUAAUACCGCAUACGAUCUAAGGAUGAAAGCGGGGGACCGUAAGGCCUCGCGCGAUUGGAGCGGCCGAUAUCAGAUUAGGUAGUUGGUAGGGUAAAGGCCUACCAAGCCAACGAUCUGUAGCUGGUCUGAGAGGACGACCAGCCACACUGGAACUGAGACACGGUCCGGACUCCUACGGGAGGCAGCAGUGGGGAAUUUUGGACAAUGGGCGAAAGCCUGAUCCAGCCAUUCCGCGUGCAGGAUGAAGGCCCUCGGGUUGUAAACUGCUUUUG